UGCAGUCGACGAUGAAGGAGGAGCUUGCUCCUCUGGAUUAGUGGCGAACGGGUGAGUAAUACGUGAGCAAUGUGCCCUUGACUCUGGGAUAAGCGCUGGAAACGGCGUCUAAUACCGGAUACGACCCUCGGAGGCAUCUCCUGAUGGUGGAAAGAACUUCGGUCAAGGAUCAGCUCACGGCCUAUCAGCUAGUUGGUGAGGUAACGGCUCACCAAGGCGACGACGGGUAGCCGGCCUGAGAGGGUGACCGGCCACACUGGGACUGAGACACGGCCCAGACUCCUACGGGAGGCAGCAGUGGGGAAUAUUGCACAAUGGGCGCAAGCCUGAUGCAGCAACGCCGCGUGAGGGACGAAGGCCUUCGGGUUGUAAACCUCUUUUAGCAGGGAAGAAGCGAAAGUGACGGUACCUGCAGA
rnacentral:rRNA from 1 species